ensembl:lncRNA
AGAAAAAAAACCAUAUAUAUAUUCAGUAGGUACCAGAAGUAGGGACACAAGUUAGCCCUUGUGUCUGGCACCAAGUACCAUCCACCCCAACCCCAGUGACUGGAGCCUCUAAAUGACUGAGCUUUAACGUCUACUACCCAUUUGAAUGGGGACUUGAAGAAGUAAGUCAGUGCAGUCAGAGAGCAGAUGCUUCUCGCACACUUGUCCCACCACAUCUGCGGCUCCAGCUCAGGUCUCUCUGUGAGUUUCCAACCUGCAUCUGGGUUAGGUUCCAUUUUUCAGCCUCAAGCCAAGCAUGCUCCAAAUAAAACUCCUCCCUCUCAUCAUGUCAUCCUCCUCACCCUCAUCGAAACCUGCUCUUCUCCUUGUGUUUCCUAGUUUACGAAUUAUCAGCAUCUACUCAGCGGUCGGGGACAGAAACCAGGGUGUUGUGUUCAGGAGCUGAAAACACUAAAGACGAAAACCCAAUGAAGACGUCUUUGUCUUAGUAUCUCGCACCCUGUGGGGUUCACAGGAGAUUUUGUUUAAAAAUUGAUUAGGUGUGCUACUUAAAAACCCACUGUAGGAGAGAGUCCAGUACAGUGGAGCAGAGGAGACUGGAAACCCUGAGCCGCUGAAAAGCCUGGGGUCUGGCUGAGGGGAGCAUUUGUGCAGAGUGGGAACUGGCAGGAGGGGGAGGUGGUCGUGACAGAGGUGAAUACCUGGGAGAAAAAGGUGUAGGAAACUUCCUUCAUUGGCUGUUCAGUUCGUCACCCAAAUGUCUAGAGGUGGAGCUGGGGUUGGGGGAUGGUUACAGAGUCUGAACUCAGUUAAGAAGGGUUCAGGGGAUCAGAUGCUUUGCUCCUUCCUGGACAGACUCCCUGCCCUCCAUGAUUCUUCAGGAAUCCACGGCACCUGACAUCGUGUGGGCGGAUUGUGAGCCCGCAGCCCACCUGGACUACUUCAAAUCCGGCCGGAAUAUUUUGGGCAAUGGAUUCCUCCAUUUCCUGAGGAAGGACCACAGUGACAUGUUUAAGGCAGAUGCUGCUCUCCUUCAACCUUGCCAGAGGCAGAUUCUCCAUUUCCCUUUGCACUUGCCUGACUUGUUUUAAGCCAUGGACCAGGCAGAGAAAGAAUGGGCUGAUUGUCAGGAGCACAUGUCAGAGCGAGACCUGGCAAAUGGAAUGAGCACUGACCGCGGGGUCGGCGGGCCCUAGGCCUGCCCUUGCCAGUAGCUGACGUCACAACUGCAUCUCCAGGACUUGGUGUCGUCGUCUGUAAAAUGGGUGACCUGAUUCUGAAAUUCUGAAAUUCUGUGAGUGUGUGUAAGGGUUGGUGUUAGGGUUAUGGUUAGAUUUAGGGUUAGGAUAUUCUGAUAUCCUGUGAGUUGUAUAUGGGUUAGGUUUAGGGUUACCGUUAGGAUUAGGGUUAGGAUAUUCUGAUAUCCUGCAAGAUGUGUAAGAUGCAGAGAAUGGCCAGUAGUGAUCUAUGUGUCUCACAAGGUGAGCAUGACCCAGCUGGCCACUCUUUUCAUUUCCUUCUUUCCGGAGAGAAGUGGGCUGAAAAGGAGGAGUGGUUAAGGAAACCUACUCAAAUGUGCUU